rnacentral:rRNA from 1 species
AGUACAGACGAGUUUGAUCAUGGCUCAGAUUGAACGCUGGCGGCAGGCUUAACACAUGCAAGUCGAGCGGAGACUUCGGUCUUAGCGGCGAACGGGUGAGUAAUACCUAGGAAUCUGCCUAUUAGUGGGGGAUAACGGCUCGAAAGGGUCGCUAAUACCGCAUACGUCCUACGGGAGAAAGUGGGGGAUCUUCGGACCUCACGCUAAUAGAUGAGCCUAGGCCGGAUUAGCUAGUUGGUAGGGUAAAGGCCUACCAAGGCGACGAUCCGUAGCUGGUCUGAGAGGAUGAUCAGCCACACUGGAACUGAGACACGGUCCAGACUCCUACGGGAGGCAGCAGUGGGGAAUAUUGGACAAUGGGGGUAACCCUGAUCCAGCCAUGCCGCGUGUGUGAAGAAGGCCUUCGGGUUGUAAAGCACUUUAAGCGAGGAGGAAGGUCUUUGAACUAAUAUUUCAAAGAAUUGACGUUACUCGCAGAAUAAGCACCGGCUAACUCUGUG